GACGAACGCUGGCGGCGGGCUUAACACAUGCAAGUCGAACGGAAAGGCCGUGCGUGUGUGGGGUGCUGGAGGGGCGAACGGGUGAGUAAGACGUGAGUAACGUGCUCUUGACUUUGGGAUGGCUUCAGGAAAGUGGGGCUAAUACCGGAUAGGAGAUCCUGCUGCAUGGUGGGGGUUGGAAAGUUGCGGCGGUUGGGGCUGGACGCGCGGCUGAUCGGUUUGUUGGUCGGGUAGUGGCUUACCAAGGCUGUGACGGGUAGGCGGCCCGGGAGCGUGACCGGCCACAUGGCGACUGAGGUAGGCACCAGACUCGAACGGGAGGCAGCAGUGGGGAAUAUUGCCCAAUGAGAGGAAGCCUGAUGCGGCAACCCCGCGUGCGGGAUGACGGCCUUCGGGUUGUAAACCGCUUUCGCCUAUGACGAAGCGUGAGUGACGGUAAUGGGUAAAGAAGCACCGGCUAACUACGUG
rnacentral:rRNA from 1 species